rnacentral:rRNA from 1 species
AUACGUAGGGUGCGAGCGUUGUCCGGAAUUACUGGGCGUAAAGAGCUCGUAGGUGGUUUGUCGCGUCGUCUGUGAAAUUCCGGGGCUUAACUCCGGGCGUGCAGGCGAUACGGGCAUAACUUGAGUACUGUAGGGGAGACUGGAAUUCCUGGUGUAGCGGUGAAAUGCGCAGAUAUCAGGAGGAACACCGGUGGCGAAGGCGGGUCUCUGGGCAGUAACUGACGCUGAGGAGCGAAAGCAUGGGUAGCGAACAGGAUUAGAUACCCUGGUAGUCCAUGCCGUAAACGGUGGGCGCUAGGUGUAGGGGUCUUCCACGACAUCUGUGCCGUAGCUAACGCAUUAAGCGCCCCGCCUGGGGAGUACGGCCGCAAGGCUAAAACUCAAAGGAAUUGACGGGG